rnacentral:rRNA from 1 species
UGCAUCGAUGAAAAAACGCAGCGAAAUGCGAUAAGUAAUGUGAAUUGCAGAAUUCAGUGAAUCAUCGAAUCUUUGAACGCACAUUGCGCCCGCCAGUAUUCUGGCGGGCAUGCCUGUCCGAGCGUCAUUUCAACCCUCGAACCCCUCCGGGGGGUCGGCGUUGGGGAUCGGCCCUCCCUUAGCGGGUGGCCGUCUCCGAAAUACAGUGGCGGUCUCGCCGCAGCCUCUCCUGCGCAGUAGUUUGCACACUCGCAUCGGGAGCGCGGCGCGUCCACAGCCGUUAAACACCCAACUUCUGAAAUGUUGACCUCGGAUCAGGUAGGAAUACCCGCUGAAACUUAAGCAUAUCA